rnacentral:rRNA from 1 species
UUCACCCUACGGGGCGCAGCAGUGGGGAAUAUUGGGCAAUGGGCGCAAGCCUGACCCAGCAACGCCGCGUGAAGGAAGAAGGCUUUCGGGUUGUAAACUUCUUUUCUGAGGGACGAAGAAAGUGACGGUACCUCAGGAAUAAGCCACGGCUAACUACGUGCCAGCAGCCGCGGUAAUACGUAGGUGGCAAGCGUUAUCCGGAUUUAUUGGGUUUAAAGGGUGCGUAGGCGGGACGGUAAGUCAGCGGUAAAAAUGCGGAGCUCAACUCCGUC